UCCACAUAGUGGGAGUAGCUCUUUGUUAAACACUCGUGCUGGGCGGCGCGCCCCACUUGGCGUGUUCUCGUGGUCUGGGGCGCCUGCGGCUUGCACAGUGCUGUAGUUCCUCCCUGCCCCCGCCCCAGAUGACUCCGAGGGUCCUGCGAUCUGCAUGGGAACCCUGAGAGCGGAAGCUGGCUUUGUGUGGGGUCCAGUGCACACAAGUCAGGUGUCUGUGGCCUCUUUCCGCCCCCAACUCACACGCAAGGCCACGCUCAGUGCCGCAGGCACACGGCCCGGGGCAGACGACCAGGCUUCCGGAGCACGUCUCGGUCUCCGGUAGACACCCAGGGAUCACAGCCCCAGAGCAGACCCUGGCCUUUCUCUCCGCCCCCGCACACCCCCGCCAGAGAAACCAAAAGCAGAACUUGCAGAGGCCGUCACGGGUCCUGGCACUUGCGGCACUGUGACGCCGAGCCACAGCUGGGGCUCUGGCCGGGGGAAGUGACACCGACAUCAGAGAAACAGAACCGAAAAAUACCCGAAACAUUCGCCUGUGCAGGCGCCGGGAGCAAGGCAGCUCCGGCUCCCCGUGGCUCUCUCUCCCUCACUCUUGAAGACCCAGAGUUGGUCCCCUACCUGCUGCCUGCGUUUAAUCUCCCAGAGUGGAUUUGCUUCUGACCCAAGCUCUCAGCCUAGUUAACUUCAGUCUAUUACUAAUUUUCCAUCCAGGAAGGCCAAUCAGCCAGCGUGGAUCCACUUAACAAACUUCCCGUCUCUUCAAGACAUUGUUAGGAGCUAUCAACAGGCCAGAAAACACGAGUGAUAACAUCUGCAAGAACACCAUUUGGCCAUGCCACCACAACAAGCAACAAGUGAGAGAGAAACCAAGAGCGAGGAAAAGAAGUUACUGCAAUCUUUAUACUGGGGUUGAGAGGCAGAAGGUCCCUAGGAGGAGCUGAAGUCAGUGGCUCCCUACCAAAA